rnacentral:rRNA from 1 species
UGUUUUGAUUUUUAUUAUGUUGAUUUAUACAGAAAAUAAUUAUUUGUUAUUGUAUAUUUUAAGGAUUGAAUUAAGUUGAUUAUAAUUUAUUAGUACUGUAAGGGUUAUAAUUUUAAUUUUAAUAAGUUGAUUUAUUUUAUUGUACCUUGUGUAUCAGGUUUUAUUAAAAAAAUAAUAUAAAUGUUGUUAUUCUCGAUAUUUAAAGAGUUAAUUAAUUAAGAUAUUUAUUGUUAUAUAAUUAUUAUGAAUAUUUGAUUGGUGGUGAGAUGUUAAUCGAUUUAUAAUGUAUCUAGUUUUUUUGGAAAUGAAUUUAAUUUGGGUUUUAAUAUUAAUUGAUUAAUUUAUAAUUUAUUUGAAUUAAAGCUAAUAUUUGAGGGGAUUAGCUCUUGAGUAUGUUGAAUAUAAUUUUUUAAGAUUAAAGUAAUGUGGGUUUAAUGUUAAUUAUCAUUAGGAGGAUGUAAGAAUUUUAUUUUGGAUUUAUAAAGAUUUUUAUUGAUUUAUUUUAUUUACUUGAAUUAGGGUAAAAUUUAUUAGUUAUUGUAAUUAUGAUAGAAUUAGUAAUUUUUCUUGUAGAAAAUUUUAUUUUUGUAAAUUUAGUUGAAGGAAUUCGGCAAAAAUUAUGUUCGCCUGUUUAACAAAAACAUCUUUUUUUGUAUUUAUUUUGAAAUAUGACCUGCCCACUGAUAGUUUGAAUGGCCGCGGUAAUUUGACCGUGCAAAGGUAGCAUAAUCAUUAGUUUUUUAAUUGAGGGCUGGAAUGAAUGGUUUGACGAGAUAUAUUCUGUCUUCUGUUAAUUGUUAUUUGAAUUUAAUAAUUGAGUAAGAAUGCUUAGAUUUUUUUAUGGGACGAGAAGACCCUAUAGAAUUUAAUAUUAUAGUAUUUGUAAUUGUUUGUAAACAUUAUAUAGAUAUUAUUAUGUUUGGUUGGGGUGAUUUAAAAAUAUAUAGAACUUUUUUUAAGUUGUAUACAUAGAUUUAUGGUUGUGUGAUCCAUUAAUAGUGAUAGUAAGUUUAAAUUACCUUAGGGAUAACAGCGUAAUUUUUUUUGAGAGUUCUUAUUGACAAAAAAGAUUGCGACCUCGAUGUUGAAUUAAGAUUAAUUUUAGGUGUAGAAGCUGUAUAGUGGAUUAGGUCUGUUCGACCUUUAAAAUCUUACAUGAUUUGAGUUCAAACCGGUGUGAGCCAGGUUGGUUUCUAUCUAUCAAUAUAUUAUAUUUUUUAGUACGAAAGGACCAAGAAUAUGAAAUAAUUUUUGUGUAUAUUAUAAUAAGGAU